CAGUCGCCGCGGUAAUACGAAGGGGGCUAGCGUUGUUCGGAAUUACUGGGCGUAAAGCGCACGUAGGCGGAUUUUUAAGUCAGGGGUGAAAUCCCGAGGCUCAACCUCGGAACUGCCUUUGAUACUGGAGAUCUUGAGUUCGGAAGAGGUUGGUGGAACAGCUAGUGUAGAGGUGAAAUUCGUAGAUAUUAGCUAGAACACCAGUGGCGAAGGCGGCCAACUGGUCCGAUACUGACGCUGAGGUGCGAAAGCGUGGGGAGCAAACAGGAUUAGAUACCCCAGUAGUCCCUGUCUCUUAUAC
rnacentral:rRNA from 1 species